rnacentral:rRNA from 1 species
GACGAACGCUGGCGGCGUGCCUAAUACAUGCAAGUAGAACGCUGAAGACUUUAGCUUGCUAAAGUUGGAAGAGUUGCGAACGGGUGAGUAACGCGUAGGUAACCUGCCUACUAGCGGGGGAUAACUAUUGGAAACGAUAGCUAAUACCGCAUAACAGCAUUUAACCCAUGUUAGAUGCUUGAAAGGAGCAAUUGCUUCACUAGUAGAUGGACCUGCGUUGUAUUAGCUAGUUGGUGAGGUAACGGCUCACCAAGGCGACGAUACAUAGCCGACCUGAGAGGGUGAUCGGCCACACUGGGACUGAGACACGGCCCAGACUCCUACGGGAGGCAGCAGUAGGGAAUCUUCGGCAAUGGGGGCAACCCUGACCGAGCAACGCCGCGUGAGUGAAGAAGGUUUUCGGAUCGUAAAGCUCUGUUGUAAGAGAAGAACGUGUGUGAGAGUGGAAAGUUCACACAGUGACGGUAACU